CCAUCUAACCGGUCGAUAUUUUAAUAAAUGGCUAUGGGAAUUUUUUAGAACGGAUUCUUUUAUUAUAGUGUUACAUAUCUAUGGAAAUAAUCUGAAGAUAAAAGUCUAUUAGGGCAAACUUAUCAGAUGUUCGACGGAGAAGAAUCGAAUCAAAAACAAGACAAUCAGUUCUGAAAAUCAAUUUUUAAUAGAAGAUAUGCGGGGAAAGCGAAGAAGAUCUUACUCAUGUUCAAGUAGUGGUGGAAAUGUUCCUUUAUCAAGAAUAAUUCUACCAGUUCCAAAUGGGCAGAUUCUGGUGUAAAAGUCAAGCAUGGCAACAAAUAAAUUGCCAAGGGAUGUAUUCUUAUACUUUGAUUGACGAAUGAAUUCAUUUUCCUUCU
ensembl:lincRNA C07D10.7 ncRNA